rnacentral:rRNA from 1 species
UACAAAGGGUGCGAGCGUUAAUCGGAAUUACUGGGCGUAAAGCGCGCGUAGGCGGCUUCGCAAGUCGGGUGUGAAAUCCCCAGGCUUAACCUGGGAACUGCAUUCGAGACUGCAUUGCUAGAGUAUGGGAGAGGGAAGUGGAAUUUCCGGUGUAGCGGUGAAAUGCGUAGAUAUCGGAAGGAACAUCAGUGGCGAAAGCGACUUCCUGGACCAAUACUGACGCUCAUGUGCGAAAGCGUGGGGAGCAAACAGG